rnacentral:rRNA from 1 species
GGCAGGCUUAACACAUGCAAGUCAGAACGAUCCCUAUCGGGGAUAGUGGCAGACGGGUAGAGUAACGCAGUGGGAACCUUCCCUGUGGUACGGAAUAGCUCCGGGAAACUGGAAUUAAUACCGUAUACGCCCUUCGGGGGAAAGAUUUAUCAGCCAUAGGAUGGGCCCGCGUUGGAUUAGCUAGUUGGUGAGGUAACAGGCAUCACCAAGGCGACGAUCCAUAGCUGGUCUUAGAGGAUGAUCAGCCACACUGGGACUGAGACACGGACCAGACUACCUACGGGAGGCAGCAGUGGGGAAUAUUGGACAAUGGGCGCAAGCCUGAUCCAGCCA